GCACAGAUCGAACAGAUACAGGGUGAUAAUAUAGUGCCGGUACAUGGGUUGCGAAGAUCACUCCGCACUGACAUACAUCCCCCUGGUUGUGGGACCGGUGACGGUAAGACGAGACCGGCGAAGGCAGUUGUGAGGAAACGAAAAGAUCGUUGAGCCGUUGAUGAUCACAAAGCUUAUGGGGUAGUUGGACGACGUGUUAUUGUUCAGCGUUCAGCUAGCGGAUAAAACUUUGAUAACAUUUUUUGGACAUACAAGACUGACAGAUUUUUGGAGAGCAUACAUGGCAGCAGAUUUUUGGAGGGCAUAUAUGUUAACAGCUGAUUUUUUGGAUAUGUUAGACACAGCUUUUGGAACAUAUUUUGUAACUAAUGAAGCUACUUAAGCAUGUUUAUGACGU